UACGUAGGGUGCAAGCGUUGUCCGGAAUUAUUGGGCGUAAAGAGCUCGUAGGCGGUUCGUCGCGUCGGCUGUGAAAACCCGGAGCUCAACUCCGGGCCUGCAGUCGAUACGGGCGGACUCGAGUUCGGCAGGGGAGACUGGAAUUCCUGGUGUAGCGGUGAAAUGCGCAGAUAUCAGGAGGAACACCGGUGGCGAAGGCGGGUCUCUGGGCCGAUACUGACGCUGAGGAGCGAAAGCAUGGGGAGCGAACAGG
rnacentral:rRNA from 1 species